rnacentral:rRNA from 1 species
AGGAGGGGGGGUAACGGCUCGCCUAGGCGACGAUCCCUAGCUGGUCUGAGAGGAUGACCAGCCACACUGGAACUGAAACACGGUCCAGACUCCUACGGGAGGCAGCAGUGGGGAAUAUUGCACAAUGGGCGCAAGCCUGAUGCAGCCAUGCCGCGUGUAUGAAGAAGGCCUUCGGGUUGUAAAGUACUUUCAGCGGGGAGGAAGGGAGUAAAGUUAAUACCUUUGCUCAUUGACGUUACCCGCAGAAGAAGCACCGGCUAACUCCGUGCCAGCAGCCGCGGUAAUACGGAGGGUGCAAGCGUUAAUCGGAAUUACUGGGCGUAAAGCGCACGCAGGCGGUUUGUUAAGUCAGAUGUGAAAUCCCCGGGCUCAACCUGGGAACUGCAUCUGAUACUGGCAAGCUUGAGUCUCGUAGAGGGGGGUAGAAUUCCAGGUGUAGCGGUGAAAUGCGUAGAGAUCUGGAGGAAUACCGGUGGCGAAGGCGGCCCCCUGGACGAAGACUGACGCUCAGGUGCGAAAGCGUGGGGAGCAAACAGGAUUAGAUACCCUGGUAGUCCACGCCGUAAACGAUGUCGACUUGGAGGUUGUGCCCUUGAGGCGUGGCUUCCGGAGCUAACGCGUUAAGUCGACCGCCUGGGGAGUACGGCCGCAAGGUUAAAACUCAAAUGAAUUGACGGGGGCCCGCACAAGCGGUGGAGCAUGUGGUUUAAUUCGAUGCAACGCGAAGAACCUUACCUGGUCUUGACAUCCACGGAAGUUUUCAGAGAUGAGAAUGUGCCUUCGGGAACCGUGAGACAGGUGCUGCAUGGCUGUCGUCAGCUCGUGUUGUGAAAUGUUGGGUUAAGUCCCGCAACGAGCGCAACCCUUAUCCUUUGUUGCCAGCGGUCCGGCCGGGAACUCAAAGGAGACUGCCAGUGAUAAACUGGAGGAAGGUGGGGAUGACGUCAA